GAUUAACGCUGGCGGCGUGCAUAACACAUGCAAGUCGAACGAUGAAACUUAAAUGAUUUCUUCGGAAUGAACUUAAGUGGAUUAGUGGCGGACGGGUGAGUAACGCGUGAGUAACCUGCCUUACACAAGGGGAUAGCCGUUGGAAACGACGAAUAAUACCCUAUGAUGUUUCUAUCUCGCAUGAGAUAUUAACCAAAGUGUUAGCGGUGUAAGAUGGACUUGCGUCUGAUUAGCUAGUUGGUGAGAAAAAAGCCCACCAAGGCAACGAUCAGUAGCCGGCUUGAGAGAGUGUACGGCCACAUUGGGACUGAGACACGGCCCAGACUCCUACGGGAGGCAGCAGUGGGGAAUUUGGCACAAUGGGGGAAACCCUGAUGCAGCGACGCCGCGUGAUUUAGAAGGCCUUCGGGUUGUAAAAAUCUUUUGUAUAGGAAGAAAAUGACAGUACUAUACGAAUAAGGUCCGGCUAAUUACGUG
rnacentral:rRNA from 1 species